rnacentral:misc_RNA from 1 species
GAUGAAGAACGCAGCGAAAUGCGAUACGUAAUGUGAAUUGCAGAAUUCAGUGAAUCAUCGAGUCUUUGAACGCACAUUGCGCCCUCUGGUAUUCCGGAGGGCAUGCCUGUCCGAGCGUCAUUGCUGCCCUCAAGCACGGCUUGUGUGUUGGGCUCCGUCCCCCGAUCCCGGGGGACGGGCCCGAAAGGCAGCGGCGGCACCGCGUCCGGUCCUCGAGCGUAUGGGGCUUUGUCACCCGCUCUGUAGGCCCGGCCGGCGCUUGCCGAUCAACCAAAUUUUUCUCCAGGUUGACCUCGGAUCAGGUAGGGAUACCCGCUGAACUUAAGCAUAUCAAUAAGCGGAGGA